UGGGGGAAUAUUGCACAAUGGGCGAAAGCCUGAUGCAGCAACGCCGCGUGAGGGAAGACGGUUUUCGGAUUGUAAACCUCUGUUUUCGGUGACGAACAAAUGACGGUAACCGAGGAGGAAGCCACGGCUAACUACGUGCCAGCAGCCGCGGUAAUACGUAGGUGGCGAGCGUUGUCCGGAAUUAUUGGGCGUAAAGGGAGCGCAGGCGGGAGAGCAAGUCUAUCUUAAAAGUGCGGGGCUCAACCCCGUGAGGGGAUAGAAACUGUUCUUCUUGAGUGCAGGAGAGGAAAGCGGAAUUCCUAGUGUAGCGGUGAAAUGCGUAGAUAUUAGGAGGAACACCAGUGGCGAAGGCGGCUUUCUGGACUGUAACUGACGCUGAGGCUCGAAAAG
rnacentral:rRNA from 1 species